CAGAGUAGGCAGGCGUGCGUUGGCCAUUGGCCGCAGUGCCGUGCGGACGGGGAGUUGCCGUGCGGACGAAAAGGAGCAUCCUUGCGGUUCGCCUGCCGCAUCCCGCUGU
rnacentral:ncRNA from 1 species